rnacentral:ncRNA from 16 species
ACUGUGAGCAGAAAUGGCAGUCUUCCGGGCAACCGCCGGUUUUCAGGCUGAUGAUGCCUUCGACUUC